AUAGGUGAAGCCGCCAAUUCUCAUGGAGGAGGCAGGUGAGCUGGCCUAAAGAAAAUUAAUUGUCCAGAGCAUUCUGAAAAAAAAAUCUACAGAACAUAUGAUCCUUCAAGUCAAAAAACUGAUAGGAUCACCAAUAUAGAUUUUAUAGAUUACAGUAAGACUUGAGGAGAUUGAUUGCUGUUUGAUGGUGAAUUAGGGAAUGAAAUGAGAUGAGUGGACAUGGACAAGGAAGGAGGAAGUGGGUUCCAAACAUGACUUAGGCAGGGUGAGUCUGUCCUCCAUAUUUCAGCAGAGACACAGUCAGGUAUGGGUAGGUGGAUGAGUAGAGAUCAUGGGUGUCAGGGCAGAAGCCACCACUGUCGGGGACAUAAUAGGGGCCCACCACCAUUUAUAGGUGUAAUUCUUUGCCCAGGCUGACCAUAACCUCUUCAUUUAAAUGUCCCUUUUCCCCGGAGUUAUGGAGAGUGAUAGUAUUUUCUGUAGCCAGGACCCCUGUUGAAGCCCAUGGCACACCGAUGAGGAGACCAGCGUCUGCAACUAGCCCCACUCACAGAAACAAACACCAUAGGUGCUCCAUUCCCAACUCUUCCCAACCCUGGGGUGAGGUUGUUUGGUACAAUGGGUGCCAAUAUUCACCAUGCAUUAGAAUUACCAGGCCCAUUUAAAUGUCAGAGUCCUGGGAACCUUUGCUAGAGACAAAUUCAAAUUAAGUUACUCUGUGUUUUUGCUACUCAGCAAAGUCCCCAAGCCAGCAGGAUCAAUCCUGAGACUUCCCAGUUCAGCAUCUGCAUUUUAACAAGAUCCCCAGGUAAUCUGAGCACACUAAGUUUAGAGAAUCCUUUGUCUAACCCAUGACAUAGACAUCAGGUUUUUUUUUUUUGGAGACGGAGUCUCACUCUGUCACCCAGGCUGGAGUGCAGUGGCGCAAUCUUGGCUCACUGCAAGCUCCGCCCCCCCAGGUUAAUGCCAUUCUCCUGCCUCAGCCCGCGAGUAGCUGGGACUACAGGCGCCCACCACCACGCCUGGCUAAUUUUUUGUAUUUUUAGUAGAGACAGCGUUUCACCGUGUUAGCCAGGAUGGUCUCGAUCUCCUGACCUCGUGAUCCACCCGCCUCGGCCUCCCAAAGUGCUGGCAUUACAGGCAUGAGCCACCAUGCCCAGCCAGCCUCUUUUUUGGAGAUCACCAGGUGAUUCUGUAUGUUGUCAGGGCUGAGAAUCUGAUGAUGAAGAAGCAUCUCAAUUUUAGGUGCCAGACAGCAGCUAAUCCCCAUAUGGAAUGAGGGGCCAGUUGCACAGAUGAUUUUUCCUGGUCUGGUCGUGGGAAGGGGGCAGGGUAUACAGAUCCCUUACCUUGGAACUUCCGCAUCCUUGGGUUCAUCUGCAGAAUCUUCUUCAGCUUGGGCUCCAGUUCCUUGAUGUGGGAAGCCAGCCUCUCUAGCUGCCGAUUGGGCCUGAUUUUGUUCUUCUGAGAGACCAUGGAACAGCAACAGCAAAGUAGAUCCUCCCCAUGGGGCUCCUUCUGCAGCGAAUUGAUGCACUUGAAGCAGACGGCGCAUCCACACUCCAGGGACAUUGGUUUUUCCAGAUAGUCUGAGCAGACGGGACAGCUGCUUGCUUCUUGGAAGAGUGCAGCCAUGUCCACUGCCAGGGGAAAAGUGCACAAGGGAAGAAAAUUUCCGUGAGGUGAAAGCCUGUUAGUUGUGACAAGUGACAACCUUUUCAUGCAUAGAGGUAUUGUGUUCCAGCUUUGUCACUUCUAGAACAAGACCAUGAGUACAAACACUCAAGCACAUCCCCCCACCCCCCGUCUUCAGAGAUUUGAAGUUCUAUUGGGAAAGAAAGUCACGAAUCAUCACUGUGCUCUGAGCUGAGGUGGAGGAAGGGUCCAUUCUACUGGUGACCCAGCAGCUGAGCCUGAGCCAGUGACACGGCAGCACCCAUGUGAGGAACAGCGAGCUGGGGUCAUUUCACCUCCUCCUAGGGGAACCCCAGCAAGAGAUUGAUUGAUGAACAUAAG
rnacentral:antisense_RNA from 1 species